rnacentral:lncRNA from 1 species
UCGUUCUUUUUUCCCCCAAAACCCUAGAGGCGAAUUCAUCUCCCUCCUCCAGAUCUCAAUCUCCCUCUUCCGGAUCUCAGUGAACAAUCGACGGUAAUGUUUCAGUGAAAUCGAUCUUCAAUAUGAUCCAAUCCAUCUUCUUUGAAUCAAGUUUCUCUCACUUACCUUUCAUUGCAAACCCUAGCCAAACCUCUGCAUCAUCAUCCUUCAAUUGUUCCUCGCCGAUUCAUCAUUCCCAAUGACCAGACCUAAUCAUCUCGAUUCUUUCAUCGAUCGUCAUUUUUUUCUGAUAAAGUUGAUCGUGUUUGUUUGGGGGGGGGGGGGGGGGUAUUCCACGGUCCUCCCAACCGCCGAGGUGAUCCCACCUCGCAGGCGACCACCCAGCAAGCCUGAGUCUGGGGGUAAAUCCACUACCGUAGGGGCAUUCGGAACGAGCAAGACUCGAACCCGCCACCUCCGAGUUAGAAUGCGAGCUGGUGGCCAUUGGGCUUACACCCAAUGGUUAAGUUGAUCGUGUUUGUUGAAUGUUUCAACGGUUGGAUUUUGUUUCAAUCGAUCUUAACAAACUGGAUUGUGGAGACGAUGAGAAGAGUAGAGAAGUUAGUAUUGUAGAAGGAAUGGAUGCUUGCUUAUUACAGUGAUUCGAGGAUUAGUGUUUCACUGUCUUCAUCACCUGCUACUAUUAGUUUCAGAUUCUUAGACCACCUCUGAAAUUAGUCGCUUGAUUCCUCAAUUAUGCUCCCUAAUUCUAAUUCUUAGAGUAUAUUUCCGAAAAUGGUAUCUUAGGGGUUUAAGGGAAAGUCCUGCAACAUCUGGCGCAUUUGUAAAUAAGUUUAUCAAUUUGGAUUAUCGAUCAUAUAUAUGGUUCUUGAAAUGGAUGUCGGAUGCUCUAAAAAUGCCCGAGCCUGAACUCAUUGAUCAUGCUGGAUUGGAUUCUGCCAUCUAUUUGCGGAUUUACUUGCCAUGGUUAAGACAAGUUAUUAGCUUUUUGGUUAUACACUUACACCCAUCUUGGUUGAUUUUAAUCUACAAUUUUAACCCGGUUUCCUAUCAGAAACCCUAAAUCGUGUUCGGGUGAACUCUCAUAGAUCGGGGAUUUGAAGGCGUCAAACUAAAAGAGAGAAAUUAGCAACUGCAAUCAACAUGUGUUUGGAUAUUUCUGCCAAAGAAUUCAGAGUUCGAUGUAGGGUUGUAGGGGCGGAGAUCGGUGGUUGGUGAAGCAUUGUGGGAGGGUGGGCCUCGGAGCUGCGUGAAGGAAUCAGAAGGGUUUCAAAGACAAAUACCCACAUGGAACAUUGCAGUUGAUCAAAAUCAUAUUAGGAAACCACGAAGAUGAACUUGAUAAUAACAAAGAGACUUGCCUGUCAUGUAGAUAGCCAUCAAAAUGAAUAAAUUUGCUCGUGAAGAGAGGUUUUUGCUCUGGGCAGUUUGUAGCAUUCAGUUACAGAUCUUGAAAUGGGAACACAACAUAACGCGAAUUCUGGAGAAUUAGGGUUGAAUGAAUUCUUCAAGAAGGUUCAAUCCAUUGAGAAACAAUAUGAGAAGUUGAAUAAACUACUAAAAAAAUACAGGAUGCCCAUGAGGAGUCAAAGGGUGUAACCAAGGCUGCUGCUAUGAAAUCAACACAUGGAGAAAGAUGUUGACGAGGUUGGAAAAGUUGCACGGUUUAUUAAAUAAAAAAUUGAGGAACUUGACAAGGAGAAUUUGGCAAAUAGACAGAAACCCGGGUGUGGAAAAGGAACAGGAGUAGACCGAUCAAGAACCGCAACCACACUGUCAUUGAUAUCGAAGACAAGGAGAUCAAAGAACUAACUGGAUUUAGGGUUUUUGUUAUUGCUGAGGCGUGAGUGGAGUAGGUGGUUUGAGUGGGAAAAUCUGGUUGAAGAUAGGUUGUCAGUGGUAUGGGCGGAGAUGAUUGUGAGCCAUUUGUAGUAAAGGAGGAGGAUUUCCAGUUUCAUUCCAGGAGGUCUUCAAGCAUCAGUGGGGAAGAUAGUCGAGAAGGUUAAAAGAAUGAGCUUUCUCGGGAUAAAAGCCCGAGCAAAGGAUCAAUUGCUCAACUGGGAAGAUUGGUGCAGGUUUGACAUCUUUAGGGACAAUGGGUAGCUUGUGUUGGCAUGGGGUUUUGUUUAUUGUAAGCUUCUGUUUUUGUUUUCAGUUUGGUGUAAGUUUCCGUUUGGUGGAUGUAUGUUUGGCGCUAGCGCCUUGCUAGAAUUUGAAUAAAGUUUAUGUUGGUUGUUCAGAAAAACAUUGGGUUGAUGGAUAAAAGGGUCUGGUUUUGUAUUUUAAUUUUGUUUGAUUUGACAAUAAGGUGUUCAGU